rnacentral:rRNA from 1 species
AGAGUUUGAUUCCGGCUCAGGAUGAACGCUGGCGGCGUGCUUAACACAUGCAAGUCGAGCGAGAAAGUUUUCUUCGGAAAGCGAGUACAGCGGCGGACGGGUGAGUAAUGCAUAGGAAAGUUACCAUAUAGUGGGGGACAACCUCGGGAAACUGAGGCUAAUACCGCAUGUGGCUAUAGAAGGGAAUCCUUUUAUAGUUAAAGGUGGGGAUCCUUCGGGACCUAUUGCUAUAUGAGACUCCUAUGUCCUAUCAGCUUGUUGGUAAGGUGACGGCUUACCAAGGCAACGACGGGUAGCUGGUCUGAGAGGAUGAUCAGCCACACUGGGACUGAGACACGGCCCAGACUCCUACGGGAGGCAGCAGUGAGGAAUUUUGAGCAAUGGGCGAAAGCCUGACGCAGCGACGCAGCGUGGACGAUGAAGCAUUUAGGUGUGUAAAGUCCUUUCGGCAGGGAAGAAUAGAGAAAAUCAUAAUAAGGUUUUUUUGAUGACGGUACCUGCAGAAGAAGCCCCGGCUAACUACGUGCCAGCAGCCGCGGUAAUACGUAGGGGGCGAGCGUUAUCCGGAAUUACUGGGUGUAAAGGACACGUAGGCCGUUAGGAAAGUCAGAUGUGAAAGACCGAGGCUCAACUUCGGGACCGCAUUUGAAACUAUUUAACUAGAGUACGAGAGAGGAGAGUGGAAUUCCCGGCGGAGCGGUGAAAUGCUUAGAUUUCGGGAGGAACACCAGUGGCGAAGGCGGCUCUCUGGAUCGUUACUGACGCUCAUGUGUGAAAGCGUGGGGAGCAAACAGGAUUAGAGACCCUGGUAGUCCACGCCGUAAACGUUGUGUACUAGGUGUGGGAAGGAUUGAAGCUUUCCGUGCCGGAGUUAACGCAUUAAGUACACCACCUGGGGACUACGACCGCAAGGUUAAAACUCAAAGAAAUUGACGGGGGCCCGCACAAGCGGUGGAGCAUGUGGUUUAAUUCGAUGCAACGCGAAGAACCUUACCCGGGUUUGACAUUUUAUUGACCGUCUGUGAAAGCAGAUUUUCUUUUCGGAGACAAUAGAACAGGUGCUGCAUGGCUGUCGUCAGCUCGUGUCGUGAGAUGUUGGGUUAAGUCCCGCAACGAGCGCAACCCGUGUCCUUAGUUACCAGCGCGUAAUGGCGGGGACUCUAAGGAGACUGCCGGUGACGAACCGGAGGAAGGUGCGGAUGACGUCAAGUCCUCAUGGCC